rnacentral:rRNA from 1 species
AGCCAGAACACAGGUGCUGCAUGGCUGUCGUCAGCUCGUGUCGUGAGAUGUGGGUUAAGUCCCGCAACGAGCGCAACCCUUGUCAUUAGUUGCCAUCAUUUAGUUGGGCACUCUAAUGAGACUGCCGGUGACAAACCGGAGGAAGGUGGGGAUGACGUCAAGUCCUCAUGGCCCUUAUGGGUAGGGCUUCACACGUCAUACAAUGGUCGGUACAGAGGGUUGCCAAGCCGCGAGGCAGAGCUAAUCUCUUAAAACCGGGCCAAGUUCAGAUCGGAGGCUGCAAUUCGCCUCCGUGAAGCUGGAAUCGCUAGUAAACGCAGAUCAUCAUGCUGCGUUGAAUACGUUCUCGGGCCUU